rnacentral:rRNA from 1 species
GAUGAACGCUAGCUACAGGCUUAACACAUGCAAGUCGAGGGGCAGCAUGAACUUAGCUUGCUAAGUUUGAUGGCGACCGGCGCACGGGUGAGUAACACGUAUCCAACCUGCCGAUGACUCGGGGAUAGCCUUUCGAAAGAAAGAUUAAUACCCGAUGGCAUAGUUCUUCCGCAUGGUAGAACUAUUAAAGAAUUUCGGUCAUCGAUGGGGAUGCGUUCCGUUAGGUUGUUGGCGGGGUAACGGCCCACCAAGCCUUCGAUGGAUAGGGGUUCUGAGAGGAAGGUCCCCCACAUUGGAACUGAGACACGGUCCAAACUCCUACGGGAGGCAGCAGUGAGGAAUAUUGGUCAAUGGACGAGAGUCUGAACCAGCCAAGUAGCGUGAAGGAUGACUGCCCUAUGGGUUGUAAACUUCUUUUAUACGGGAAUAAAGUGAGGCACGUGUGCCUUUUUGUAUGUACCGUAUGAAUAAGGAUCGGCUAACUCCGUGCCAGCAGCCGCGGUAAUACGGAGGAUCCGAGCGUUAUCCGGAUUUAUUGGGUUUAAAGGGAGCGUAGGCGGACGCUUAAGUCAGUUGUGAAAGUUUGCGGCUCAACCGUAAAAUUGCAGUUGAUACUGGGUGUCUUGAGUACAGUAGAGGCAGGCGGAAUUCGUGGUGUAGCGGUGAAAUGCUUAGAUAUCACGAAGAACUCCGAUUGCGAAGGCAGCCUGCUGGACUGUAACUGACGCUGAUGCUCGAAAGUGUGGGUAUCAAACAGGAUUAGAUACCCUGGUAGUCCACACAGUAAACGAUGAAUACUCGCUGUUUGCGAUAUACAGUAAGCGGCCAAGCGAAAGCGUUAAGUAUUCCACCUGGGGAGUACGCCGGCAACGGUGAAACUCAAAGGAAUUGACGGGGGCCCGCACAAGCGGAGGAACAUGUGGUUUAAUUCGAUGAUACGCGAGGAACCUUACCCGGGCUUGAAUUGCAACUGAAUGAUGUGGAGACAUGUCAGCCGCAAGGCAGUUGUGAAGGUGCUGCAUGGUUGUCGUCAGCUCGUGCCGUGAGGUGUCGGCUUAAGUGCCAUAACGAGCGCAACCCUUAUCGAUAGUUACCAUCAGGUUAUGCUGGGGACUCUGUCGAGACUGCCGUCGUAAGAUGUGAGGAAGGUGGGGAUGACGUCAAAUCAGCACGGCCCUUACGUCCGGGGCUACACACGUGUUACAAUGGGGGGUACAGAAGGCAGCUACACGGCGACGUGAUGCUAAUCCCGAAAGCCUCUCUCAGUUCGGAUUGGAGUCUGCAACCCGACUCCAUGAAGCUGGAUUCGCUAGUAAUCGCGCUUCAGCCACGGCGCGGUAAAUACGUUUCCCGGGCCCU